AUCUGUUCCUUUACAUCUUCGCGCUCGCAUGUGUUGCACUAUGGUAGUAAUAUUCACUUUUGAGCUUCACACUGGCAGCCCUGUGACCCUCGACGAGGUUGUUUCUCUUCAGUCGCCCUCCCAGGGCUGCAACAAGCUUGGUCUUUCAAGCUUUUCUUCGGAUUGCUGAAGGUUUGUUAACCAUUAUCUCCAAAACAUCCUGACCACUGUUGGGGAUGUCCACCACAAAGAAAACUAGAUCUUCCAGGAGCUUGGUCACAAAUCUGAAAGAGAUACGUAGUGCUUUGCUGCUGGUUGCAGAAGUGGCAGACUGGCGGCCAGUUGUUCUCAGAAAAACAUGCUGCUUCUUCCUGUGGUCAUCACAAGUGAGAAACUUCUCCUGCUCUGCAUGGAACAGCCGGACUACAUCACCCUG